UUGGUCAAUGGUUUCAUGUGACUAUAGGAUGCUAGAUGCUGACCCACAACAUUCGCCAUCUUGCUGAAUUUAUUUAGAUCCAAACCACAAUUUUUGUUCGCCUCAAUUUUCAUUGUUUUCAGUCGAAACACAAAAGACAUGACUUCCGAUUCAAGAACUGUUUUUGGAGCAACAUCAUCCAGACCAGAACUUCAGUGUCCAGCUGCAGCAACUGUACAACAGUUUGAUGAUAGGGAAUGGAAAUCCAA